rnacentral:rRNA from 1 species
AGCGGCAGGCCUAAUACAUGCAAGUCGAGGGGUAGAUUUAACUUCGGUUGAAUUGAGACCGGCGGACGGGUGCGUAACGCGUAUGCAACCUACCCAUUACAGGGGGAUAGCCCGGGGAAACUCGGAUUAAUACCCCAUAGUAUUAUUGAUUGGCAUCGAUUAAUAAUUAAAGAUUUAUUGGUAAUGGAUGGGCAUGCGUCUGAUUAGUUAGUUGGUGAGGUAACGGCUCACCAAGACGACGAUCAGUAGGGGGUCUGAGAGGAUGAUCCCCCACACUGGCACUGAGAUACGGGCCAGACUCCUACGGGAGGCAGCAGUAGGGAAUAUUGGUCAAUGGGCGAGAGCCUGAACCAGCCAUGCCGCGUGCAGGAUGACGGCCUUCUGGGUUGUAAACUGCUUUUGUCAGGGAAGAAAAAGACUAUGCGUAGUCAAUUGCCGGUACCUGAUGAAUAAGCACCGGCUAACUCCGUGCCAGCAGCCGCGGUAAUACGGAGGGUGCGAGCGUUGUCCCGGAUUUAUUGGGUUUAAAGGGUGCGUAGGCGGCCUUUAAGUCAGUGGUGAAAGCCCAUCGCUCAACGAUGGAAUUGCCAUUGAUACUGGAGGCCUUGAGUUCAGUUGAGGUAGGCGGAAUU